UGCGAAGAUAGAGGUGCGGGCAACAUGAGUAGCUCCGGGGAGAAGGGCAUCGCUGAACCGGAGGGAAAGGGUGACCGCCGAAGCGUGGCCGGCUGCCGAAGCGGCCAUGCUGGUCCUGCGUCGAACAGGCGCCGGACUGUCACCAAUUGUGAAAUUGGUGGAGCGCUAUCUCAUCU
rnacentral:ncRNA from 2 species